UGGGACUGUAGUGAGAAUUAAAUGAAAUUGUGAAAAUAAAAGACUGAACACAAGUCCUGCGCAGAGAAAGGAUUCAGUUAAUGGUAGCCGUCACUCUUCAUCAGCCUGGAAUGCAUUAGAUUCAGGAAACAUAAGUGCUCAUCUUUUUUUCUCCCUUUAAAGUAGAGGAUACCAAGAUACAGUGAGGAAUUAGCACAGCUCCCGCAGGGGAGGUGUGGGCAGGAAAGGAGGGCUGAGAAAGGAGUGGCCAGGGACUGUCUAACUGGAUUCCUUCUGUUUCCUGCAGGUUGUACUCACAUCAUUGGUCUUAUGGGGAAAUUUUAAGACCUCCCACUUGUAAGGUUUUAUAGCCCUCUAUGGAAUAUUGAAGAAAGAGUAAAAUGCAUCCAAAAAAAAAAAAAAACACUAAACUGGAUAAAUUCUAAGGCCUCUUCAGGUCUUAAGAUGGCCAUUUUCUAGGUCCUCUUGCUGCAGCAGUGAAAUCCACAAACACGGACAAGUCAGUCAGUUACGUGCCUUUCAGAGAAAACUUCUGACUUAGGAAUUCCAGCUAUUUGGCCCAACCCAUAUUAGAUUGUGUUAUAAAGACAUGGUAAAUUACAUCACGAAGGGAAGAGCAGAGGAAACAUAAUAUUCCUUCAAGACCCAUCAGCUCAGAUGUUAGCAGAACACCCCUAAGGAGGAAAACAAGAAAUUUUGGGUUUGAACUUGGUACUUCCCAGCAGCCCUGGGAGUGGGGUCAGAAGCCCUGCUGGGGGCCAAAGAACUCUGAGGAUCAAAGAUGUUGAGCAUCACCUUAGAGGCCAAAGAUCAGAACAGUGGAGGUGGCCUUUGAAGCCCAACCUGUCUUUCACCAGAGAGUGAGAACGGCCUCUAUUUCCAGGAAGCUCACUGCAGCAAUAAUCAUGAUGCUCUGAGCCUGACAAGCAGGUUACUUAUGAGAAACAAGCUUGAAAUCUCUGCACCUGGACCAGCUUCCAGAGGCUUUUGUCCUGACCAGCUGGCUUUGGGGAAGUAAAGGAAACCAGAGAAGAAGAGGCUGAAAGAAUUGGUUUCCACCGUGACCUUUGAACCCUCGGGCGAGUUGUCAGCCUCACUGAGGAUGAGUGUACUCCAUAUCAAGUGAGGUCACUUUACUCGCAAGCUUGUUGUGAGGACUGAAUGAAACCUUUUCUUUUUUCUUGGAGUUUCAGAGCAACGUCCCUGAGCCCAGCCCCACACUGGCUUGAGCCCUGUCGUCGGUCAAGACACGGUGCUUUCUCCCCUCCCCUCUGCACUCCAGCUUACUCUGCAGUCAGGAGGUGGCACCACGAUCCCCUUUAAGACUUUGCCACUUGGGCCAGCUGCGCCCCUGUGAAAUUCCCUGUUUCUAUUGCAGGCCACAAGGACGAGCUGAGAAAUGGCUUCCAGUCACCAUCUAGAUUAGAAAGCCUAUAUUUCAAAUAUAGAUAUAUCAAUUAUGCCUGUAAAAAGACAUUAAAUCCCACAGGGCUGUAAUUCCUAGACUCUACGAAUUUCAUCUUGCACCAAAUUUUAUUAUUUCAUUUAUAAUUCGGAUUCUUCAAAUCUAAGAGUGCCUGGCUCAAAAUUAAAAUACCUACAACUAUGCCAAAACUGGACUCUUUAAUUGCCUUACUGGAACCAGUAGCUGAUUCAAAGCAAAACGAAACAAAAUUCCUCCUUUCUCUGAUUUAGUGAAUCAAUGAUCUAACUGAACUCAUUUUUGGACUGAGUUUGCGGCACUUGCAGCCCUGAGGGACACAUUCCCCCACCACACUGAGCCUGCACUCCCAUCAAUGCAAAUGAACAUUUUGCUUAUUCAGAUUGGGGGGGUGAAGGAAGUCACAAAAGGGUUAAUACAUAUGGCAUUUCAUUGUAAUAUGUACUCACUACUAACUAAAUUAAAAGAGAUGUGAGUUAUUAAAAACUCCAUCUUAAGAAAGUAACAGAAAUCAGAGUUCAGAUUCGUUGUUACUGAGUUUCCAACCAACACCUGUGAGUUAAACCUACGGCCACCCUGAAAACGGUUCAUAUUUUCAAAAGCUUCAUCGAAGAUGAGCUGCACUAAAGAUUCAUAUUACAUAUCAUGCUGCAAUAAGAAAAUCAAAUAAGGCCUUUCCAUAUUCAAUAAUAAAGUUUAAAGAAAAGUAAUAUUUGUUUAGCCAGUUAGCCAGAAAUUAGAUGUAUCAGAAUACAUCAUUCUUUGAGCAUUUUAGAAAAAUCAGGGUAUUUCUACAUUGUGUUUUUCUUUGUAAGCCCUCAAAAAAUAUAGAGAAUAUUCUUGAAAUUAUAGUGUUUGUCUUCUGGAACAAAAAAUACUAAUCAAGGAAAUCUACAAAUUUAAUGGUUUAUUGAGUUUCCACAGGAAACACUGUGUGAGGAGGCUGAGGCUUAGAAGUUCA
rnacentral:lncRNA from 10 species